GGAGCUGUGGCUCAGUGGCAGAGCGUCUGCUUUGCAUGUAGAAGGUCCCAGGUUCAAACCCUGUCAUCUCCA